UGGAACCGUCGGGUUUGUUAGUCUGAAGUAGAAUGAUGGACGGUGGUUCUUUCCACCCGCCCAGGCGGUCUCCCCGGUGAGCUGUGUCAGAUCAUCUAAGCAGUGAAAUUCUGUAAUUGCCUGGCUUCCUGGGACAGAAAUGUGGAGACAUCAAGAUCAACACUUCUUCCUCGCCAGAGACCUCAUGCUAGAACUUUCCAGAAGAGCUGGGGUCAACAGAAGAGCAGAUGUUAAGAGUGGCUGUAUGCCAGGACUCCGGAAAAUGUCCAAGU